rnacentral:piRNA from 1 species
GACAAGUACUGGACGCAGAUGAACUGGA